rnacentral:rRNA from 1 species
CCUACGGGAGGCAGCAGUGGGGAAUAUUGGGCAAUGGGCGCAAGCCUGACCCAGCAACGCCGCGUGAAGGAAGAAGGCCCUCGGGUUGUAAACUUCUUUUAUUCGGGACGAAACAAAUGACGGUACCGAAUGAAUAAGCCACGGCUAACUACGUGCCAGCAGCCGCGGGAAUACGUAGGUGGCAAGCGGUAUCCGGAUUUACUGGGUGUAAAGGGCGUGUAGGGGGGAGAGCAAGUCAGGCGUGAAAUUCCAGGGCUAAACCCUGGAACUGCGUUUGAAACUGUUCUUCUGGAGGGAGGGAGAGGCAGGCGGAAUUCGGGGUGUAGCGGUGAAAUGCGUAGAUAUAAGGAAGAACACCGAUGGCGAAGGCAGCCUGCUGGACCUUAACUGACGCUGAGGCGCGAAAGCGUGGGGAGCAAACAGGAUUAGAUACCCUUGUAGUC